UACGUAGGGGGCUAGCGUUGUCCGGAAUCAUUGGGCGUAAAGCGCGUGUAGGCGGUCCGGUAAGUCCGCUGUGAAAGUCGAGGGCUCAACCCUCGGAUGCCGGUGGAUACUGUCGGGCUUGAGUACGGAAGAGGCGAGUGGAAUUCCUGGUGUAGCGGUGAAAUGCGCAGAUAUCAGGAGGAACACCAAUUGCGAAGGCAGCUCGCUGGGACGUUACUGACGCUGAGACGCGAAAGCGUGGGGAGCAAACAGG
rnacentral:rRNA from 1 species